AGACGACGUCUGGUGAUGCGAUG
rnacentral:miRNA from 1 species